UACAUGCUUUGUUCUUGUGGCCGUCAAGCUCCAUUCAUGUCUUUUUUUAUUAAUGGCUUUCGGUCUUUAUUGAUUUAUACUCGCAGUUAGAAUAAUACUGUAUUUUCAAAAGGACGAAAAUCAAAAAUAUACUCUCUGUCGAUCAACUAAAAAUAUAAACAUACAAAAUCACUGUAAAGUCCAGGGGGGGUUGAACUUUGUCGCCCACGAACAUUCGAGCCACGGGUCAGUGGAGACCCCCAUGAAAAGGGUCAUGUAGCAGCUCCAACAAGGUCUUUUGUGAUUGGUCAAAGGGAUAGUUAAAUAUUAAUUAUAUACUGGACAAAUAAAUUCUAUGUUCGUAUACAAUAUAGAAAUUUGCGUAUUAACUUGUUCUAUUUUUAAUCAUUUACAAGCAAUAAUCUUAAGGGAAGAUAAUCAAGCAGUUAUAUAGUAGUGAAGAGUAUAGCAUUGUAGGUAGUGAAGGUAGUAGCGAGGGUAGCGGAGGUAGCGAGGGUAGCGAGAGUAGCGACGGUAGCGAGAGUAGCGACGGUAGCGACGGUAGCGACGGUAGCGAGAGUAGCGACGGUAGCGAGAGUAGCGAGGGUAGCGACGGUAGCGGAGGUAGCGAGAGUAGCGACGGUAGCGAGGGUAGCGACGGUAGCGAGAGUAGCGACGGUA